ACCGGGAUCCAUGCAGCCAGCAAUGAUGAUGUUUUCCAGUAAAUACUGGGCACGGAGAGGGUUUUCCCUGGAUUCAGCAGUGCCCGAAGAGCAUCAGCUACUUGGCAGCUCAACACUAAAUAAACCUAACUCUGGCAAAAAUGACGACAAAGGCAACAAGGGAAGCAGCAAAAGUGAAACUGCUACCGAAAGUGGCAAGACAGCAGUUGUUUUCUCCUUGAAAAAUGAAGUUGGCGGACUGGUAAAAGCACUGAGGCUCUUUCAGGAAAAACGUGUCAACAUGGUUCAUAUUGAAUCCAGGAAAUCUCGGCGAAGAAGUUCUGAGGUUGAAAUCUUUGUGGACUGUGAGUGUGGGAAAACAGAAUUCAAUGAGCUCAUUCAGUUGCUGAAAUUUCAAACCACUAUUGUGACGCUGAAUCCUCCAGAGAAUAUUUGGACAGAGGAAGAAGAGCUAGAGGAUGUGCCCUGGUUCCCUCGGAAGAUCUCUGAGUUAGACAAAUGCUCUCACAGAGUUCUCAUGUAUGGUUCUGAGCUUGAUGCCGACCACCCAGGAUUUAAGGACAAUGUCUAUCGACAGAGAAGAAAGUAUUUUGUGGAUGUGGCCAUGGGUUAUAAAUAUGGCCCAAGACUGUUAGCUGCUAUUGGCGACUGGGAAUUUUAGCUCUUUUCUGUAUCAAGUUCUUUGAGCUCAAGCUCCUUGUGCAUGUUGAGCGUGCACAUAUUGAUGGAUGUUAGAUCCAUUGUUGUUGCUGUUGAUAUUUAAUUUCAUGAUAGUUUUUGCAGAUGAAAAUCACUUCUCUAGAAUAUGAAGAGGACUUUCUGCAAGGUGAGAAAAUAGUGGGAAGCCCUAUCCUGUGGUGCACAGGACAAAUAAAAACAAAUAAUUUCUAGGAGUUAAAUCUUUGUUCUCCCUGAGGCUCCUUAGGUGCAGUAGUUUAUUUUCAUUAUGUCUCUUGUAAAGGCAGCACCAAUAUUAACAACGUGAACAAAACAAACUAACGUUUGUGUUUGCUCCCAUCUGAAAGUUCCUUAAGGCCCGUAGACUCAUUUACGAAAAUUCAUGUGCGCAAAACUCAUUUGCAAAAGCAAAUAAAAUAUGUGAUUGCAAAUGCUCUUUACCUGACUGGCCUAGGGGACUAGCUGAAAAUGCAUUUAUGCCUUUGUGUUUACUCUAUGGCGUGGCUUAGCAGUCAUGGGGCUCCUAACCUCCUCUACAGAUGAGUCCCCGUCAAGCCACGUAUGUCAGAUGACUUGAAUGUUUUGAAAUUCAGGCAUCAUUUAGAUGGUUGUUAAGUUGCUGUACUAAUGUGUGAGUUUUUGUUUGUAAAAAAAUUUAUUAAAUCAUUGUGCUCUGUAGCCUUGGAAAUGUUUUUGAAGUUCAUUCAUUACAAUGUCCAGCCAAGGAAACAUCUCUGUAUUUAGUUAAGUUCGGACUUUUCUGUCCCUUUGGGUUUACAUAUGCUGCUUUCUUUCCUGGUGAAAAUUUUGGUUACAAGUGUGACUGAGUGACGAUGUCUAGACAAGGAUCAGGAAAACUGAAUUGAGAAAAUUAGAAAAAAGAAACCCUUAUAUGUAAAUUGUACAUAGGAAUAAUUGGAAGCUACCAGAAAGUUUGUUAAAAUCCUGAAUCUUUGCUUUUUGCAUAGUAAUUGAAAUAUAUGAGACAAGACAAAUACAUACCUGCCAGACUCUCUGAUGCAUAACUAUUUUUUCCCUAACAUUUAAAUGUGUGUUUUGCUUUAGGCUGAUUGAUUGAUUUACUCACUUAACAAAUAUUAUUUUUUUGUUUUGUUUUGUUUUGUUUUGAGAUAGAGUAUCUGUCAUCCAAGCUGAGGUGCAGUGGCACGAUCUCAGCUCACUACAACCUCCGCCUCCUGGGUUCAAGCGAUUCUCCUGCCUCAGUCUCUCUAGUAGCUGGAAUUAUAGGCACACGCCACCAUGCCCGGUUAAUUUUAGUAUUUUUAGUAUUUUUGUAUUUUUAGUUGAUGCAGAAUAUAUAUAUAUAUUCUGGCAAUAUUUUUCCAGUCUCAGAGGCAUAAGCGAUCUUCUUGAAUACUCAUUGAGUAUUUGGCUGUACUUUGUAGACACCUGGAUGCAGGUGAUACUAUUUCAUGAAGGUGGUACCAACUAAUAUAGUACUAGGUAACACUAUGGUCACUGGCUAAAAAUGAGAGUCAUCAAUUACUGAUUGAAAUUUCUACACACCUGGUGUGACACCUCAGUUGUGAGACGUGCAACAAAUGCUUGAUAAGAGUUAAUUAUAAAUUUUGUGAUGAUGAAUUUUUUUUUUUAACUUUUACUUUAGGUUUAGGGGUACAUGUGAAGGUUUGUUACGUAGGUAAACACAUGUCAUGGGGUUUUGUUGCACAUAUUAUUUCAUCACCCAGGUGUUAAGCCUAGUACCCAAUAGUUUACUUUUCUGCUCCUCGCCCUCCUCUCACCCUCCACCCUCCAGGAGACCCCAGUGUCUGUGGUUUCCUUCUUUGUGUUCAUAAGUUCUUAUCAUUUAGCUCCCACUUACAAGUGAGAACAUGCAGUAUUUAGUUUUCUGUUCCUUCAUUAGUUUGCUAAGGAUAAUAGCCUCCAGCUCCAUCCAUGUUGCUGCAAAAGACAUUAUCUCAUUUUUUAUGGCUGCAUAGUAUUCCAUCGUGUAUAUGUACCACAUUUUUCUCAUGCAAUCUGUCACUGAUGGACAUGUAAGUUGAUUCUGUGUCUUUGCUAUUGUAAAUAGUGCUGCAGUGAACUUCUGCAUGCAUGUGUCUUGAUGGUAGAAUGAUUUAUAUUCCUCUGGGUAUAUACUCAGUAACGGGAUUGCUAGGUUGAAUGGUAAUUCUGCUUUUAGCUCUUUCAGGAAUGGCCAUACUGCUUUCCACAAUGGUUGAACUAAUUUACACUCCCACCAACAGUGUAUAAGUGUUUCCUUUUCUCUGCAACCUUGCCAGCAUCUGUUAUUUUUUUGACUUUUAAAUAAUAAACAUUCUGACUGGUGUG
rnacentral:sRNA from 1 species